AAAAAACGGUUACAAUCAUCUUCUAGUGACUGCCUUAUUUUUACACUCUGGGACAACCAAAUCAUUGUUUAUUUUUUUUUUGUUGACCAUUGGACAUUAUUAUUUACUGCUGCUAUUUUAGCUUAUAAAUUAUCUUGUAAACCUUGUAAUUUAAAUAUCGCUCCAUCAAGCCGUUUUAUAGAUACAUCGAUUAAUCAAUUGUCAAUGAUAGUUAUAGAGGCUGUCUUUUUUUUGCCCAGUGAUUCAUUUGGAUUGAUUGAGUUUUCAAUUUAUGUUAUUGGCUUCAUAUUUAACUUAGUGUUUAACUUGAUUGUGGGUUUAAUGCAAAAUUAUCAAAUGGUUGUUUCACACUGAAUUGGUGCGUCCGUUGACCAAUGUAAUCCCUGAAUGGAUCCCUUUCAAUGUUGCCGUUAUCCAGUCGCCGCCUCUUUGAUCAACAUUUAAUCGUAAAAAAUCAAGCUUAUAAUAUGAAUUGGACAAAUAAACAAGUUUACACUUUUUGCGUUUGUUGGAUGUUCAAUUGAGUAUAGAAUUAUUAUAGGAUUCAUCAAUUUUUGUCAGAUGUUAUUCAAUGUAACAUUCACUGUUAGAAUCAACUUUUUUAUCGCAUUUCUAGUUUUAUUUCAGCUAUUUGUCUUCAACUUCGCAAAGCACACAGAGAUCUUUGGUGGCUAAGUUUUUCACCGUCCUAUCCAGUGAAUCGAAGCAACAGAAAGAAAUGGGAUUGGACUUUCGUUACUGGUGUGAUAUCAGAGCUAUCUUUUGAGCAUUUAUCUAGGAAUUAUCUUCCAAAGGCAGAAUAGGUACAUCGGCAAAUGAGAUGAUAAAGGAGCAAAAGUUAAAAAUGACUGUUUAUCGAAGAAGUUGAUUUCAGAUCGAGAAUAAUCUUCGGAAUGAGUCCAAGUUUGAAAGCUGAUAGCAAUAAACAUCUUGAAUUUCUUUCUUGACAAAUUUUCUGCCUUUGGUUCUUUAUAUCUGUAAAUCGGGGAAAUUAAAUAUUUCAGAUUUAAUUUUCUUUAAGGUACCAUGGAAGUCCAUUGCUAUAUUCUGUGCCGUUACAAUUUCUAUUCAUAUUUGACAUGAGAUUAAUAGUUUAAUAAAUUUACCACAUUAUUCAUUCA